rnacentral:rRNA from 1 species
AUUGAACGCUGGCGGCAGGCCUAACACAUGCAAGUCGAACGAGUGGCGGACGGGUGAGUAAUGUCUGGGAAACUGCCCGAUGGAGGGGGAUAACUACUGGAAACGGUAGCUAAUACCGCAUACCAUCGGAUGUGCCCAGAUGGGAUUAGCUAGUAGGUGGGGUAACGGAUCACCUAGGCGACGAUCCCUAGCUGGUCUGAGAGGAUGACCAGCUACACUGGAACUGAGACACGGCACAGACUCGUACGGGAGGCAGCGGUGGGGAAUAGUGCACAAUGGGCGCAAGCCUGAUGCAGCCAUGCCGCGUGUAUGAAGAAGGCCUUCGGGUUGUAAAGUACUGUCAGCGAGGAGGAGUUACUCGCAGAAGAAGCACCGGCUAACUCCGUGCCAGCAGCCGCGGUAAUAC